UAAUUAGAGAGUUUGAUCCUGGCUCAGGAUAAACGCUGGCGGCGCACAUAAGACAUGCAAGUCGAACGGAAGUCGUUACGAAAUGGAAUGAAGAUUUAUCUGAUUGAAGUUUUGUAACAAUGGCUUUAGUGGCGGACUGGUGAGUAACACGUAAGCAAUCUACCUAUUAGAGGGGAAUAACAAUGAGAAAUCAUUGCUAAUACCGCAUAAGCUUGUAGUACCGCAUGGUACAGCAAGAAAAGGAGCAAUCCGCUAAUAGAUGAGCUUGCGGCUGAUUAGCUAGUUGGUGUGGUAACGGCAUACCAAGGCAACGAUCAGUAGCCGGGCUGAGAGGCUCUUCGGCCACAUUGGGACUGAGAUACGGCCCAGACUCCUACGGGAGGCAGCAGUCGGGAAUUUUGCGCAAUGGAGGAAACUCUGACGCAGUGACGCCGCGUAUAGGAAGAAGGUUUUCGGAUUGUAAACUAUUUUAGUCAGGGAAGAAAAAUGACAGUACCUGAAGAAUAA
rnacentral:ncRNA from 1 species